rnacentral:rRNA from 1 species
ACGCUGGCGGCGUGCCUAAUACAUGCAAGUCGAACGCACAGCGAAGGGUGCUUGCACCUUUCAAGUGAGUGGCGAACGGGUGAGUAACACGUGGACAACCUGCCUCAAGGCUGGGGAUAACAUUUGGAAACAGAUGCUAAUACCGAAUAAAACUUAGUGUCGCAUGACACAAAGUUAAAAGGCGCUUCGGCGUCACCUAGAGAUGGAUCCGCGGUGCAUUAGUUAGUUGGUGGGGUAAAGGCCUACCAAGACAAUGAUGCAUAGCCGAGUUGAGAGACUGAUCGGCCACAUUGGGACUGAGACACGGCCCAAACUCCUACGGGAGGCUGCAGUAGGGAAUCUUCCACAAUGGGCGAAAGCCUGAUGGAGCAACGCCGCGUGUGUGAUGAAGGCUUUCGGGUCGUAAAGCACUGUUGUAUGGGAAGAACAGCUAGAAUAGGAAAUGAUUUUAGUUUGACGGUACCAUACCAGAAAGGGACGGCUAAAUACGUGCCAGCAGCCGCGGUAAUACGUAUGUCCCGAGCGUUAUCCGGAUUUAUUGGGCGUAAAGCGAGCGCAGACGGUUUAUUAAGUCUGAUGUGAAAGCCCGGAGCUCAACUCCGGAAUGGCAUUGGAAACUGGUUAACUUGAGUGCAGUAGAGGUAAGUGGAACUCCAUGUGUAGCGGUGGAAUGCGUAGAUAUAUGGAAGAACACCAGUGGCGAAGGCGGCUUACUGGACUGCAACUGACGUUGAGGCUCGAAAGUGUGGGUAGCAAAC